rnacentral:rRNA from 1 species
GACAGAGGUGCCAAGCGUUAGGCGGAAUCACUGGGCUUAAAGCGUGUGUAGGCGGAAUGGUAAGUACCUUGUGAAAUCCCUCGGCUCAACCGGGGAACUGCGUCCGAUACUGGUGGGCUCGAAUCCGGGAGAGGGAUGUGGAAUUCCAGGUGUAGCGGUGAAAUGCGUAGAUAUCUGGAGGAAUACCGGUGGCGAAGGCGGCAUCCUGGACCGGUAUUGACGCUGAGGCGCGAAAGCCAGGGGAGCGAACGGG